rnacentral:rRNA from 1 species
ACGCUCGACACCUACGGGAGUCAGCAGUAGGGAAUCUUCCACAAUGGACGCAAGUCUGAUGGAGCAACGCCGCGUGAGUGAAGAAGGUUUUCGGAUCGUAAAGCUCUGUUGUUGGUGAAGAAGGAUAGAGGUAGUAACUGGCCUUUAUUUGACGGUAAUCAACCAGAAAGUCACGGCUAACUACGUGCUAGCAGCCGCGGUAAUCUGAGCGGGCUGGCAAGGC